rnacentral:piRNA from 1 species
UAGAAAGAAAUGAAUGGAGGGU